CUAGGACGAUCGAUCGAUGGGAGGGGGCACGGAGGUCUCAACAUAUUGCCGCGGAAGCGGUGGAACGUGUACAACUACGAGAACCGCGAGAAGGUCCGCCGGGACGAGGAGGCCGCUGCCCGCGAGGAGCAGCUCCAGCGCGAGGAGUCCCGCCUCCGAGUUCCGCCUCGAGCGCCUCCGCCGUGCCCGCGGUCUUCACUACCAGCAACCCCCCCGCCUUCGAUGACGACUCUCGCCACUUUAACCUCUUCGACGGACUCUCCGAUUUCUCCUCCCUUGGUGGCACCCAGGACGAAGGGAUCCCCCGUGAUGGCAAGAUAUUUAGGAAGGAGGAGGCUGAAGACGGUGGAUCCAAGAGCUCUAAGAAGCCGCGGAGAGAGGACAAUCCGGCGUCGGUGGCGCCCGAGGACGAGAAGUAUAAGCUGGGAUAUGGACUGGUAGGGAAGGGGGUGAAGGCGCCGUGGUACCUCUCACGACCGUCGGCCAUGUCAGAGACUGUUGACGAGGAAGUUGGAAGAUUCAUGGUUGCAAGUGGAUCGGGGAAGAAGAAUGCGUGGAAAAAGACAAUAGAGGAACUGAGGGAGGAGAGGAUGAGGAUGAGGCGGGAGAAGAAAGAAAAGGAGAGGGAACGUGCACUACUUCUUUCUACUGCGAGGAAGAAUGGUGCUGAUCGAUGGUUUUCAAGGAAGAGUUCUAAGUAUGAAGGCUGUCAAUGUUAGUGACUUCUAUGAUUUUAUGGUUCUGCUACCGUACCAGAGAUAUCAUAAGCCUGAUAUAUCUCUUGA